rnacentral:lncRNA from 1 species
AGUAGAACCUAACCCUAUACCUCACUGUAAAUUUGUUCAUUUUACGCCAAUUCGAUUUGCGCCAGAUUUUGUAGGAACGGAACUGCGGUGUAAACCGAGGGCUACCUGUAUUUCUAUAUGUGUUAAAAUGAGUUUUGAUGAAAGAUAUGUUAAUAAGCAUAUUUAUAUUUUAUCAGAUAGUCAAGCUCUGCAUGAAAAGCACUUCAUAUUCUUGCUUUAUCUUGAAACUUUGUGAAAUGUCAUCAUCUCAUUGUAGCACUAGCUAUCAGGAACAGAUUCAGCCUAUUUGGAUGCUAAGGCAUAAAGGACAUGAGGAUCAUGAAGUUGCAGAUGGGCUGGCCAAGAAAGGAAAUUCUUGUCCUCUUAUUGGACCUGAACUUGCCAUCAGUAUCAGAUCUGAUGAAUUUGGACAAAUUGUCAGGGAUUAAUUGGCAGCCUCAGCAUCUUUUCCAUUGAAGGCCAUUCCUGGAUUAAGGCAAGCAAAGGCUGUUAUUUUAGGUCCAUCAUUACAAAAAACUAAAGUUUCUUGCAUUACCUAAGAGUCAAGUAAAGAUUGUAAUAGUGUACUGUCAUCACAUCUCUACUUAAUUAGGUUUGCUGAUAGUUCCAAAAAUUAUAGAUGAUGUCAAGGAGGAAAUGAAAUUCUUUUUCAGAUAUUUUAUGAAUGCGAUCUUAUAUGGUUAUAUUUUCUGGCAUUAGAAGAUCUUUUUACAAUCUCAUUAAGAAAUUUAUUGUCUUUUGCAUAUAAAAAUGGAACUUCUUAUGGAAUAAUCUUGUAGAGAAUACAAUAGAUCACUGGAUGGUCAUAGUUCUAGGGCUGUUUAAAGCCUUUCUUUGAACUAUUAGUACCUACUACCAACUACUUACAUACACUAUUUAAAUAAGAUGUUAUAUUAACAUUUGUUUUUUAGAACUAUAAGAACAUGUUGAUUUAUAUAAACUUGAUUUCUAGCAAUAUAAAUUAAAUUCUUCCAGAAAUGCAAGUUUUACAUAAAUGAAAGUUAUUGGGGAGUUAUAUAAGGAUUUUUUUAUAAAUCAAAUUUACAUACAUAAAUAAUUACAUAAUUAUUAUGC